UGAUAAAGUUGGGUUCAUAUAUAGAUAAAUUGCAAGCUUCAUACACAGCAAUGUUCGCAUGCUUCAAGACUACUUAAUUUUCGCUUCUACGGAGUUUCCUAAAAUCUCACACAUGAAUGCUUCAUAUAUCUUUUGCAUCACACAUCUCCAAAAUGACCAAGGUUCCUGAUCUAGAUUCUGUGCUAAAGAGUCAUUUUGAAGCUUAAGGGACCUCAGAGAAACCACAUUAUUGAUCGAGGAUUAAAAUUUACCCCACUGGCUACAACGAUGUUGACAAUGGACAGUCGAGGUUGAGAUUAUGUUGGUCAACCUCUUAUGUUUGAAGCACCACCGCUGGGACAAGCGACUUCUACAUGGAGCCCGAAGCAUAACGUGUGCUGCUCCUAGUAUCUUGGUGCCCAUCACAAAGUAGGAGUAGGCGCUAGGCACUCCCAAGAGGUGGAGAGGGUUACCAAUGGUGACAUGAGGUCGUUGGUGUAGGUCAUCACCGAGUCUCCUAUGUUCCCCGUCACCGUCUUUUGGAAGCAAAUUAU